rnacentral:misc_RNA from 1 species
UUUCCGUAGGUGAACCUGCGGAAGGAUCAUUAAAGUGUUAGCCUGUGCACCCAGUGUACGGGCGAAACUCCACCCUUGACUACUGUACCACAUGUUGCUUUGGCGGGCCUGCCCUCGGGCUGCCGGGGUUUCCCUGGCCCGCGCCCGCCGAAGAAUAAUGAACCCUUUGUGAAUUGGACGUCUGAGUUGAUUAUCAAUCAUUAAAACUUUCAACAAUGGAUCUCUUGGUUCCG